UUUCUCUUAUGCCAUAAUGUCUAUGUUAAAAGCGCUACAUUUUGGCAUUUGUUGUACCCGCCACUCUCUCCAUUUAUUUUAUUAUUUUAUUAAUAAAACUAAAAGAGCAGAUGAGAGUGAGAGAAAGUGAUGCUUUUAAACAUAUGAGAGUGAGAAUACGAAACCCUAACAAUCGCGCUACCAUUCAUCUCCACAGCGAAGCCAUUGUUGCCUCCGAUUGAGCUUUUGUAACUUGGUUCUUUGGUCUCGAUCUGAUGUUUGUCACCGCCAUAAGCGAUGUCGUUGUUGCUGGCCUCCGAUUGUGCUUCUGCGAUUUGGUGUUUCUUCUUUGUGAAUCACUAAUUACUAAUUCGAUCUACUUCAUCUUCUUAUUUGAAUUUUUCUAAUUAGAUGUUCAUAUUUUUUGAUCUGGUUCAUGUCUAUAAAGCUGACGAAUUUGUUGCUAAUAUAUUCCCAGUCGCAGAUUUUUAGUUUUGUAACUGAUUUUUCAUUUGAUUAUUAGAUCUCUGUUUGUAACUGAUAUUUUGUAACUGAUUGCUAAUAUUUUUCAUUUGAUUUUUAGUUUCGUAACUGAUAUUUCGUAACUGAUUGUGAUAUUUGAAUUAUUAGAUCCAUUUUCUAAUUCUCAGUUUUUGUUUCAAUGUAUCGAUUAGCUUCCAAGCUAGCCUCCUCCAUCACUUCAUCGACCUCAAGGAGCGUUGUAUAAACAAUUACACUCUCCUUCUCCAUUCUUCUUUCUUCCGUUUAUACGAAUUACAAUCUUCAUUUUUGUUUGUGUUGCUGGAACAGAUACGCUGCAGGGUUAUUUCAAGUAGAAACUAUACGAGCAAAGACAUCAACUUUGGCGUUGGAGCUCGUGUUGCAAUUCUUCAGGGGUCGUAAUGUGAUUAUUGAGAAAAGUUAUGGGAACCCAAGGAUCACAAAUGAUGGUGUGACAGUAGCUAAGAGUAUCAAAUUUCAGGAUAAGGCUAAGAACAUUGGUGCUGAUCUUGUUAAGCAGGUUGCCAAGGCUACCAACGCUGCUGCUAGAGCUGGUACAACUUGUGCAGGCAAUACUGACAGAAGGUUGCAAAUCGAUUAUAGCUGGUGUAAAUGUCAUGGAUUUGCGUAAUGGAAUAAAUAAGGCAGUUGAUGCUGUAAUUACUGAUUUAAAAAGCAGGGCAGUAAUGAUAAGCACACCUGAAGAGAUAACCCAGUGUAUUAUUUUGGUAGGGAGAAUGAGUUAUGUUACCAAAUACUAAGUCAAACAAUGGACGCAAGGUCAAGAUAGGAGUUGGAGUUGGAGUCUCAGUUGGCGUAUUAUGUGGCCUUCUCUUAGCAUUCUGUUUGAUAUGGAAAAGACGAAAAAGGGCCACUCUGAAAGAGACUAAUGCAGCAUUAAAGGAUCAGUCCAUGGAAGAACAAGAGGAAGAUCCAGAGGUUCCAUUAUAUGACCUAACAGUUAUAGCUUCUUCCACUGAUAACUUUUCACACAAAAAUAAGCUUGGAGAAGGUGGUUUUGGACCUGUGUUUAAGGGAACAUUAGAAAAUGGGCAAAGAAUUGCAGUUAAGAGACUUUCAGCUAGUUCCGGACAAGGGAUCAAGGAAUUUAAAAAUGAAAUUGCCUUGAUAGCCAAACUUCAGCAUCGUAAUCUUGUAAAGCUUUGGUUUCUAAUUUUGUGUUUUUCUAACUGGUUGUCAACUGUCAAGAAGGCUUAGGGUGUUCGUUAGUGGGUACCUUCUUGAAAUCACUUGUGAAUGCAUCCCUGGUUGCCAAGAAGGAUGACAUCAGUUCAGGAGCAAAUUUGUUAGCUUCAGUUGAAAUCCUUGUGUCUGGAGUAUGCUUCUUGAAAGAUUUUGUGAAAGAUUUUGUGAAAGAUUUUGUGUUUCCAUCGUUGUAAAUUCCUUGAUUCUUCAUAAGCAUCAAGUGGAGUUUUUGUGUGUGCUUUUUUCUGCAGCCUAUUGACAAAUAAUCUCUACUUGAUUCUGGGAUAUUUUGCUGUCUCAUUCAUGUUCUAAAUGCCCUUCUAAAUCCUGAUGUAACUAGUCAACGAGCAAAUACUGCUAUUGAUGAUGAAGAGCAGUUGGUAUUGCAAAAAGAUUAUAAUGGUGAUAUUGGGGAAGGGCGCCGACUUGAGAUUACUGAUAAUAACUUGGAACAAAGAUUUUACAAGGAUUUACGUAAUGAAAACUUGGCUUCAGUGAACAUUGUCUUGUGUAUAUAUAAAAAAUUGUUAUAGUUGUAAAUUUAUAGUUAGAAAAUCAUGUUAUAUUUGAUACUUUGUAUACGAAUUAUUAUUUUUUAUUUCCAAUACUAAAAAAUCAUAUAU